ACUCUGUUGUGAUGCAGUGAUUGUUGGGUCAGCCCCCAGGGGCUACAGCAUUUCACACCAGGCUGUCGCCCAGAGCACAUGGCUGCUGCCUGUGGGUCUGAGUACAGGGACCAGGGUGAUGGAGCAGGGCCUUUGGGACCAACCUGCUUCCAUUGCUAAAGGGAACGUGAGACACAGAAGGAUGAAGGAAAGUAUUCUUGUCCAACUGCAACGUGAUCUCUUAUUUCUGUUGAUUUGAUCACUGCCGCUUGUCUGUCAGAAGUAGUAAGAGAUCCUGUUCAUAUCAAGAGGUAAGGAAUGCACCUUCUCCUAGCAAUGGAGUGGAAACUAACCAAUCUCAGUGUACUUUCAGGUGAAGAAAGUGAAUCUAGCCUUUGCUGUCAAAGGCUACAAGCAGUUUCAUAAGAAGAAAGCAAGAUACAUAACCAAAGCUUCUGAGAGGUUACAGAAGUAUUGACUUGCUCUAGCCAAGAAUAAGGAAAGCACUUAUACUUACUAGAUUAACAGUACAGCUGAUUGUAUGGAGAGAAAGAGAGAAACUAAUCCAGCAAUUCAUCACGCAGAAGGUGGUCAUAUUUCAAGAUGCAAGGAUGACACAUGGCUGUAGUUUACAGGAAGGAAUUAGCUGAUCCAUCCUUUUAAGGAGAUGUCAAGAAAUAAGCGGAACUGAUCAUUUCUAUCAAGAGGUAAGGAACGCACCUCCUCACAGCAUGGAGGCAGGAAUGAAAGGCUCUGUUUCUAUUUUCAGGUGAAAGGAAGGUCUUACCAUUCAAGGGAGGAUGAGAGGCUGCUGAAUUUAAGAAAAAAAAAGUCAGACAGGUUUUGCUCUUCUGAGAUAUGAAGAGACCAGGUGGCCAUUCCUACCAGGGAGAAGUGAGGCUUAGUGGCAUGGCUGUCCUGGGCAAGGAGACAAAAAAGCCACUUCAAGUAGUUCAGCUAGUCGCAAAUCUGAAUCAAGUCAGCAGAACAUCACAGACAUGGAGAUGAGAGAAAUGCAGAUGAUUUGAACGUUGAGAGUGUGAAAUCUUCAGGAAGUUGCUAGAAGAUCUGGGAUAUCUACAGAAAGGAAACAAGCAAAACUCGUCACUGCUACCAAGAGGAGGAGAGUUACAGAUGCUCAGGAUUUGAGUACAAAGGAAUAGGAAUGGAGCUGAACAGAUUCAACACCAGAAAGGACGAUUGGAUCUCAAAAUAUGAAAGUCCCUUCAUUCAAUAAAGCAACAGGAUUGGCUCUGAGGAGAGGAAAGAGCCAGCGUGGACAAUAUUCAAGACACAAUGUUCAAAGGUUGCUGCUGGGAUGGAAGUAAAGAAGAAAGCCCUGGAGACGGGUUAGUGCUGGGACACAGGCACUAUCCUGGAGGGGCCUGGGACAGGGUAUGUAACCAUAGCAACCAGUGGGUCCUUUCCCCACUGUGGUCCUGGCUCGCAUGCACAGGGUGAAACCGAUCGCCAUGUUUGGGGUCAGGAAGGAAUUUUCCUCCAGGGCAGAUUGGCCAGAGACCCUGGAGGUUUUUCGCCUUCCUCUGGGGCAUCGAGCAGGGACCAGCCCUUAGGGCCAUUUAGGAACAGACAUAAUAAAAUCCAUCAGAGAGAA